GCGGGAGUAGCUCAGUUGGUAGAGCGGCAGCCUUCCAAGCUGCAAGUCGCGGGUUCGAGUCUCGUCUCCCGCU
rnacentral:tRNA from 1 species